GCCUUCGUAGUGUAGUGGUCAGCACGCUCGACUCGUACUUGAGAGAUCCGUGUUUCGAAUUCCGGCGAGGGCA
rnacentral:tRNA from 1 species